GAUGAACGCUGGCGGUAUGCUUAACACAUGCAAGUCGAACGGACUCUUCGGAGUUAGUGGCGGACGGGUGAGUAACGCGUGAGAAUCUGGCUUUGGGUUCGGGACAACCACUGGAAACGGUGGCUAAUACCGGAUGUGCCGAGAGGUAAAAGAGAAAUUGCCUGAAGAUGAGCUCGCGUCUGAUUAGCUAGUUGGUGAGGUAAAGGCUCACCAAGGCAGCGAUCAGUAGCUGGUCUGAGAGGAUGACCAGCCACACUGGGACUGAGACACGGCCCAGACUCCUACGGGAGGAAGCAGUGGGGAAUUUUCCGCAAUGGGCGAAUGCCUGACGGAGCAAUACCGCGUGUGGGAAGAAGGCUCUUGGGUUGUAAACCUCUUUGCUUAGGGAAGAACAAAAUGACGGUACCUAAGGAAUCAGCAUCGGCUAACUCCGUG
rnacentral:rRNA from 1 species